rnacentral:rRNA from 1 species
GACGGAGGGUGCGAGCGUUAAUCGGCGUUACUGGGCGUAAAGCGCAUGUAGGCGGCCGAACAAGUCAGGUGUGAAAUCCUCGGGCUUAACCUGGGAAGUGCACUUGAUACUGUCCGGCUAGAGUUUGGCAGAGGAAAGUAGAAUUCCCGGUGUAGCGGUGAAAUGCGUAGAUAUCGGGAGGAAUACCAGUGGCGAAGGCGGCUUUCUGGGCCAAUACUGACGCUGAGUCGCGAAAGCGUGGGGAGCAAACAGG